rnacentral:rRNA from 1 species
UACAGAGGGGGCAAGCGUUAUUCGGAAUUAUUGGGCGUAAAGGGCGCGUAGGCGGCUUUUCAAGUGACGGGUGAAAUCCCUCGGCUUAACCGAGGAACUGCCUGUCAGACUGGAAGGCUUGAGACCGGGAGAGGUGAGUGGAAUUCCCAGUGUAGCGGUGAAAUGCGUAGAUAUUGGGAGGAACACCAGUGGCGAAGGCGACUCG